AUAUCAGUCAUGCAUAGCAUAUCAAUAAGCGGAGGAAAAGAAACUAACAAGGAUUCCCUUAGUAACGGCGAGUGAAGCGGGAAGAGCUCAAAUUUGAAAUCUUCAAGGUUCUACCUUGACGAAUUGUAGUUUAUAGAAGUGUUUUCUGUUAGUGGAGUGGCAAAAGUUCUUUGGAAUAGGACAUCAUAGAGGGUGAGAAUCCCGUAUUUGGUCAUUCCUCCUAGCGUUGUGAUACACUUUCAACGAGUCGGAUUGUUUGGGAAUGCAGUCCAAAAUGGGUGGUAAAUUUCAUCUAAAGCUAAAUAUUGGCGAGAGACCGAUAGCGAACAAGUACCGUGAGGGAAAGAUGAAAAGAACUUUGAAAAGAGAGUUAAACAGUACGUGAAAUUGUCAAAAGGGAAGCGUUUGACACCAGUGUUGUUUUUCCGAAAAUCAAUUACGAAUGUUUUGUUUUUGAGAAGUUAUGACUUCAUCGGCUUGCUUCUUUCUUUACGAAACUUUCUUAAUGCACUUUUCGGUUAACAAGUCAACAUCAAUUUCUUUUGUUGUAAAAGGGUACUGAGGAAGGUGGCUUUCUUUUCGGAGAAAGUGUUUAUAGCCUUGUGCCUCUGCAAUCGGAGAGAUUGAGGUCUGCAGCGUAGAUCCUUCGGGGUUAGAUACAGUUUGUGCUAAGUUAUAGCUUUUCAUAGACAACUUGUUGACUAUGUUUAGUCUUGUAGCUUACUCGCUUAUGCUAUUUUACCUACGCUUAGGAUGUUGAUCUCUCACAGUCGAGC
rnacentral:rRNA from 1 species